GGAAACACUAGAAGUAAGUGUUUUAUCUCAUUUAAAAUAUGUAUUUCAUAAGAUCAUAUUGAUUUGUAGGGGAUCUACACGUUCUUUUUCGCAAGAGCUUUUAUUUUGAAAUUCGUCGCGGGUGCCGCCAUUACUAUUUUCUUGCGUGAGUGUCAGACGCACGGAGAAAGAGCGAGAGAGAACAGAAGCAGCGGUGAGCUGAUGAAGAAUGCACUGAUUUUGAGAACUCUUAUCGAGUUAAAAUUUAAGUUUAGACUAGUGUCAUGCAUUAAAACUGCAUGUUGAUGCAUCUAAGUCUUCGUUUUCCGUAACGAGCCUGUUAUUUAUAGUAACGUGACAAGUUUAUAUAGUGCUCGUACGUGAAACAGCAAACAGACUGUUAAGUGUUUAAAAAGUCAUUCAGCGUUGGAGUUGAAUACUGCCGUGUUUCCGUGCGUUUGCAUCCAGUUUUGUUAGUUCGUACGAACUCAAAACGUGGUGAAUGUGUUGCUUAUUUUUUUGUGAGGAGAGUUAAGCUGAUUCGUUAGAUGGGAUCGUAUGUUGUUCGUGCUCUUGGACCGAUCUUCGUUGGACUGGAUUGCGGCCUCGUCGGAUCAAGGUGUUGUCUUUAGGAUCACGGGGGCAAUUGUUGAAGAUCAUAGAGUUAAAAGAACAGUACCCUGCCUAUUCAGACACCUUUCAGCGCUCCAUCUAUGUUCCAAGAGUGGUGAUGUGCUUCAUUUUCUUAAUUUUCCACUGAAUGCUGGUAAGCAAGAAAUCUUUUCUUUAACACGUGUAUAAGGACUGAACUGUGCUUUAAGAGAAAACUCUCAUACACGGAACUGUAACGUGAAUUUACCUGCAAGUCUAUGAACCGUCCGACUACUGAAUGGACUGAGUACAAUUUUCCCCGGAUUUUUGAAGUGAACUUUUCAAAGUUUGAGUUGAACUGAAUCACACUGAUUGUGAAUGUGAAACCUUUCAGUGCCAUAAAAGAAGAACUCCGAUUGUUGUUUAAGUUUCAACAAAAACACUAACGCAUUGUUUAUAUUUUCUUUAUUGUUGUCAAUCUUUCAUUUUACUCCAAAUUUACUGAAUUUGAAAUACCUUUACUUUUCCUGUGAAGAAACUAAAGAAAGAAGUAAUUUAUUCUGUCUCUUGAGUCUAAUGUUUUUCAUCUGGAUAUUUCUAGUUAGUUAAACUAAAACUGUGGUUACCAAAUUGAGUCUUUUACACUAAGGAGUGGGGGCGUCUCAUCUAUCCUGUUAGAUUUGGAGAAGAAGACAGGAGGUCCAAAAUGAUGACAGAAUUUUCAGUUUUGGGUGAACCAUUUUGAUUUGUAUUCUAUUGUAUUGUCUAGAUUUAAACUGUCAGACUGCCAUCUACAUUAAUGUUAGUUUUUUUGGUUCUUAUUCCGAGGUCACUGUAGCCACCCAGAUCCAGACUGUAUCCAGGUCAAAUGGUCACUGCAGGUACCCGGAUCUAGUCCAGCCCAGAUGGUGGAUCAGCACCUAGAGAUGAUCUCUACAGCCCUGAAUGUCAGCGGAGACCAGGACAAAUAGAUAAGCCCCAGAGACUGAUCCCAUCUGAAGACCUCGUCACCUAGACGGCGAUACGGACAAGAGCACGGGAACCAGAUGAGCUCUCUGCACAUCUAACUUUGUUGCAGCGUAGAUUUAAACUGUUGGUUUCAUCUGGCCAGAGGAAAACAGAACUAUUUCGACACACUAUGUCCCUGUUUAAAGGAUUACUCCACCCCAAAAUGAAAAUUUUGUCAUUAGUCACUUACCCCCAUGUCAUUCCAAACCUGUAAAAGCUUAGUUCGUCUUCAGAACACAAAUUAAGAUAUUUUUGAUGCAUUCUGACAGCUUUCUGACCCUCCCAUACACAGCAAUGUAUUUAACAUGAUCAAUGUCCAGAAAUGUGGCAAGGAGAUCCAUAAAAUAAUCCAUGUGACAUAAGGUGUUCAACCUUAGUCUUACAAAGCUACAAGAAUACUUUUUGUACGCAAAGAAA